GAAAACACGUUGAUGAGACGAGUAAGAUGUGAAAGGAUACAGAGAGAGAGGUCGCAGGCUGGAAGCCUCUUAUUGCGGAAACAUCUGAAAACUACCUCGGAGUGGCUGCAAAACAGUCCGGUGAUUCCGUUAUAAUCAGUUGAGUGGUUCUGGUAUUUGCCAGUACAAUUUGGGUGGAACCGCGAGUAAAGAGAACUCGUCCCUUGU
rnacentral:ncRNA from 1 species